CUCUAAGGCUAAAUACUCGUGAUCGACCGAUAGUGAACCAGUACCGUGAGGGAAAGGUGAAAAGAACCGUGAAUAACGGAGUGAAAUAGAUCCUGAAACCAUACGCUUACAAGCGGUCGGAGCCCAUAUGGGUGACGGCGUGCCUUUUGCAUAAUGAGCCUACGAGUUACUCCUCUCUAGCAAGGUUAAGGAUUUAAGGUCCGUAGCCGGAGCGAAAGCGAGUCUGAAUAGGGCGUUCAGUUCGUAGGAUUAGACCCGAAACCGGGUGAUCUAGCCAUGGGCAGGUUGAAGGUACGGUAACACGUACUGAAGGACCGAACCCACGUCUGUUGAA
rnacentral:rRNA from 1 species